CCCUUAGAUGUUCUGGGCCGCACGCGUGCUACACCGAGUGGAUCAGCGGGUCAGGUUGCGCGAAAGUGUUUCCUAAUCUUUAAAUCCGCUCGUGAUGGGGAUUGACGGUUGCAAUUUUCCGUCAUGAACGAGGAAUACCUUGUAAGCGCGGGUCAUCAUCCCGCGCUGAAUACGUCCCUGCCCUUUGUACACACCGCCCGUCGCUCCUACCGAUUGAGUGGUCCGGUGAGGCUUUGGGAUCUGAGCGGAAAGAGCGUUUCGCUGUUUCUGCCCGGAAAACUCAGUCGAACCUUAUCAUUUAGAGGAAGGAGAAGUCGUAACA
rnacentral:rRNA from 1 species